rnacentral:RNase_P_RNA from 1 species
UGAGCAGGCUGCCUUAUCGCUGGUUGUUUAAUCAGAGGAAAGUCCGGACACCACAGAGUAGCAUAAUGGGUAACGCCCAUCCUUAACCUUAGUUAGGAGGACCAGUGCAACAGAAAGAAUGUACAGAUAAUGCUGUAGUGAAAUCAGGUAAACUCUAUGCGGUGAAAUGCCAUGUAUAUUUAGCAUUUGAGGGUUACUCGCCCGAAGCUUUAGGGGUAGGCAGAUUGAACUGUUGAGUAAUUAACAGUCUAGAUAAAUGAUAAGGGUGUACGCUUUUGUGCAUACAGAAUCCGGCUUAUAAGCCUGCUCUUAUU